rnacentral:rRNA from 1 species
UACGUAGGGUGCAAGCGUUAAUCGGAAUUACUGGGCGUAAAGCGUGCGCAGGCGGUUUUGUAAGACAGAGGUGGAAUCCCCGGGCUUAACCUGGGAACUGCCUUUGUGACUGCAAGGCUUGAGUGCGGCAGAGGGGGAUGGAAUUCCGCGUGUAGCAGUGAAAUGCGUAGAUAUGCGGAGGAACACCGAUGGCGAAGGCAAUCCCCUGGGCCUGCACUGACGCUCAUGCACGAAAGCGUGGGGAGCAAACAGG